AAUAGUACCCAGGUAGUCCUAGCCGUAAACGAUACUCGCUAGGUGUCGGCCACGGUGCGACCGUUGUCGGUGCCGUAGGGAAGCCGUGAAGCGAGCCACCUGGGAAGUACGGCCGCAAGGCUGAAACUUAAAGGAAUUGGCGGGGGAGCACCACAACGGGUGGAGCUUGCGGUUUAAUUGGAUUCAACGCCGGAAAUCUUACCGGGACCGACAGCAAUAUGAAGGCCAGGCUGAAGACUUUGCCGGAUUAGCUGAGAGGUGGUGUAUGGCCGUCGUCAGUUCGUACUGUGAAGCAUCCUGUUAAGUCAGGCAACGAGCGAGACCCACGCCCACAGUUGCCAGCGUACUCUCUGGAGUGACGGGUACACUGUGGGGACCGCCGCUGCUAAAGCGGAGGAAGGAAUGGGCAACGGUAGGUCAGUAUGCCCCGAAUAUCCCGGGCUACACGCGAGCUACAAUGGUUGGUACAAUGGGUAUCUACCCCGAAAGGGGACGGGAAUCUCCUAAAACCAAUCUUAGUUCGGAUUGAGGGCUGCAACUCGCCUCA
rnacentral:rRNA from 1 species